UGCAAAGACUUUAAAAACAUAGUAAAAAAACAGGGUGCUUUUCAAAAAUUAGCAGAACUAUUUGAAACGUCUUAAAACGAAAUUCAACGCAAGUUACACAACUUAAGAACACAACUGAAUCAGGAGUGGAAAAAAAUUCAAAAGAAAAAAGUGGACAAGGAGCAAAUGAAGUGUAUAAGAGCACAUGGGAAUUCUUUGAUUCUUUAAAAUUCAUGUUAGCUGCAAAUGUUCAAAGCUGUACAGAAGAUAAUCUGACUCAAAAAGAUGAGGAUACACUGACACAAAAUUCCACAAUAGAUGAGGGACAAAAGAUUGAAACAGAAACAAAAAGUACACCGUCCAAAAAACCUAAAAAAAUUAAAGUGACUGAAGAAGAUGCGAUGUUGGCAAAUGCAGUAAAGGUGAUGAAUCGACCCUCAGAUAACUGGCAAAUAUUUGGAGAUUAUGCAGCAUCCGAGCUUAGAUCCCUACGUUCAGAGCAGCUCCAAUUAAGGUUGAAAAGAAUGAUACAAAGAGAUAUUCUUACAAUUUCAAAAUUAGCUGAUAACUAUGAUUCUGGACAUUCAACACCGGCCUCUGUCCCUCUUUUAUCCCCUACAUAUGAUUCAAGUGCCUCAUCGUCAACUCAAUAUACUGUGCAGCCCUAUACUGACAAGACAAUUUACACAGAGCUUCCACAAUUGCAGCACAGCACUCAGGAACAAUCCUUGCGAUCGUACAUACAGGGAUUCGAUACAAAUACAUAAGAGAAUG
rnacentral:lncRNA from 1 species